AAUUGUUACAAACUCCCUUUCAUCACCCUCCAGUUCUCCUUCAGAGGCAAAGAGCAAUGAACCAGAAGGAGAUCUUGGCAUGCUUUACGGAUCCAUCUUCCGAAGACACCACAUCACCCUCAUCAACUCUAGUAUCAUUAGCUUAGAAUGUAACUCCAACUGCACAGUGCACAACGGAAGGCCUUUGCAAAAGUGGUUAAGUGUGAUGGGAGAAACGCCGCCACCAUUCACACCCACUGGUAAACUGCAGAGGAGAGAAGUGGAUCCCACGCAGAGAGCUCUGUGGACACACAUCACAAACAUAUGGCAUUGCCAGACUUAAUGGCUCUUUAAUGGCAUUUAAGUGGCAAUAUUAAAAUGAUGGGGCUUUUACUAAAUUACCCAACAAGAAAAUAAAUAAAUAAAGGUCUGAGGAAAGGAUGAUAAUCAGCAAGCGGCACUAACUGUGUUAACCCAGCUAAUUCUGCACCUGUGCCUUUCUGCUGCCCAAAAUCACGCCAGAAGAAUUUUGAAUAAAUCACAAACAAGACUGGCACUGGUACGGGCAGGCGGCUUGGCAUGGCAUCUCAGCCAAAGUGCUCCUUCACUUCCGCCCUGAUGGAUUUGAAAAGUCAUUUCAACCAUUAUGCUCUUGGAACUCGAGUGCUACAGCACCUUUCAGAUAUGCUCAAGAUCAAGUUCCUCGGUGAGAUGGUUGGGCUCCAAAUGUGAAAGACCUUUGUGCUAACUGCAUCACCUGACCUUCUUCAGGCUUCACUAUGUUAGAUCUGUCAUGGGAAGGGUAUUUUCUAGUUGACUAAAAGCAUGAGCAUGCUAGUGAUAAUUUGUACCUAAGAGGUAAUCUUAUUCAAAUCUAAUACUGAUAUUAGAAGCUGAUUUGAAAGGACACACAAAGUGAAUGCUAAUGAAUAGAGGCAGUUAAAACAUUACACUCAAAAUCAAUGUAAAAGAGAUGAGUUCUUGUCGUAUAUAAUGCUUAAGCUGAUGUUUUCCAGCGUUUACCCAAUACAGACAACUAGUUGGAUCACUUUGGAGCACUAUGGUACAAAUAAUAGAUAAUUACUUGAAAUUAACACCUUAAAAGUUCCAGAGAUAGGGCGUAAAUAAAAUAUUUAUAAUGUUUAAUAUCAUUUUAUAAUUAUAGAAAUUCUGUCAAAACAAAAACCUCUAUAUUUUCAGAAGAAACAUAAGUUUGU
rnacentral:lncRNA from 1 species